rnacentral:rRNA from 3 species
GAAAGGGCGCACGGUGGAUGCCUUGACACUAGGAGUCGAUGAAGGACGGGACUAACGCCGAUAUGCUUCGGGGAGCUGUAAGUAAGCUUUGAUCCGAAGAUUUCCGAAUGGGGAAACCCACCAUACGUAAUGGUAUGGUAUCCUUAUCUGAAUACAUAGGGUAAGGAAGACAGACCCAGGGAACUGAAACAUCUAAGUACCUGGAGGAAGAGAAAGCAAAUGCGAUUUCCUGAGUAGCGGCGAGCGAAACGGAACAUAGCCCAAACCAAGAGGCUUGCCUCUUGGGGUUGUAGGACAUUCUAUACGGAGUUACAAAGGAACGAGGUAGACGAAGCGACCUGGAAAGGUCCGUCGUAGAGGGUAACAACCCCGUAGUCGAAACUUCGUUCUCUCUUGAAUGUAUCCUGAGUACGGCGGAACACGUGAAAUUCCGUCGGAAUCUGGGAGGACCAUCUCCCAAGGCUAAAUACUCCCUAGUGAUCGAUAGUGAACCAGUACCGUGAGGGAAAGGUGAAAAGCACCCCGGAAGGGGAGUGAAAGAGAUCCUGAAACCGUGUGCCUACAAAUAGUCAGAGCCCGUUAACGGGUGAUGGCGUGCCUUUUGUAGAAUGAACCGGCGAGUUACGAUCCCGUGCGAGGUUAAGCUGAAGAGGCGGAGCCGCAGCGAAAGCGAGUCUGAAUAGGGCGUUUAGUACGUGGUCGUAGACCCGAAACCAGGUGAUCUACCCAUGUCCAGGGUGAAGUUCAGGUAACACUGAAUGGAGGCCCGAACCCACGCACGUUGAAAAGUGCGGGGAUGAGGUGUGGGUAGCGGAGAAAUUCCAAUCGAACCUGGAGAUAGCUGGUUCUCCCCGAAAUAGCUUUAGGGCUAGCCUUAAGUGUAAGAGUCUUGGAGGUAGAGCACUGAUUGGACUAGGGGUCCUCAUCGGAUUACCGAAUUCAGUCAAACUCCGAAUGCCAAUGACUUAUCCUUAGGAGUCAGACUGCGAGUGAUAAGAUCCGUAGUCAAAAGGGAAACAGCCCAGACCGCCAGCUAAGGUCCCAAAGUGUGUAUUAAGUGGAAAAGGAUGUGGAGUUGCUUAGACAACUAGGAUGUUGGCUUAGAAGCAGCCACCAUUUAAAGAGUGCGUAAUAGCUCACUAGUCGAGUGACUCUGCGCCGAAAAUGUACCGGGGCUAAAUACACCACCGAAGCUGCGGAUUGAUACCAAUGGUAUCAGUGGUAGGGGAGCGUUCUAAGGACAGUGAAGUCAGACCGGAAGGACUGGUGGAGUGCUUAGAAGUGAGAAUGCCGGUAUGAGUAGCGAAAGACGGGUGAGAAUCCCGUCCACCGAAUGCCUAAGGUUUCCUGAGGAAGGCUCGUCCGCUCAGGGUUAGUCAGGACCUAAGCCGAGGCCGACAGGCGUAGGCGAUGGACAACAGGUUGAUAUUCCUGUACCACCUCUUUAUCGUUUGAGCAAUGGAGGGACGCAGAAGGAUAGAAGAAGCGUGCGAUUGGUUGUGCACGUCCAAGCAGUUAGGCUGAUAAGUAGGCAAAUCCGCUUAUCGUGAAGGCUGAGCUGUGAUGGGGAAGCUCCUUAUGGAGCGAAGUCUUUGAUUCCCCGCUGCCAAGAAAAGCUUCUAGCGAGAUAAAAGGUGCCUGUACCGCAAACCGACACAGGUAGGCGAGGAGAGAAUCCUAAGGUGUGCGAGAGAACUCUGGUUAAGGAACUCGGCAAAAUGACCCCGUAACUUCGGGAGAAGGGGUGCUUUCUUAACGGAAAGCCGCAGUGAAUAGGCCCAAGCGACUGUUUAGCAAAAACACAGCUCUCUGCGAAGCCGUAAGGCGAAGUAUAGGGGGUGACACCUGCCCGGUGCUGGAAGGUUAAGGAGAGGGGUUAGCGUAAGCGAAGCUCUGAACUGAAGCCCCAGUAAACGGCGGCCGUAACUAUAACGGUCCUAAGGUAGCGAAAUUCCUUGUCGGGUAAGUUCCGACCCGCACGAAAGGUGUAACGAUUUGGGCACUGUCUCAACCAGAGACUCGGUGAAAUUAUAGUACCUGUGAAGAUGCAGGUUACCCGCGACAGGACGGAAAGACCCCGUGGAGCUUUACUGUAGCCUGAUAUUGAAUUUUGGUACAGUUUGUACAGGAUAGGCGGGAGCCUUUGAAACCGGAGCGCUAGCUUCGGUGGAGGCGCUGGUGGGAUACCGCCCUGACUGUAUUGAAAUUCUAACCUACGGGUCUUAUCGACCCGGGAGACAGUGUCAGGUGGGCAGUUUGACUGGGGCGGUCGCCUCCUAAAGUGUAACGGAGGCGCCCAAAGGUUCCCUCAGAAUGGUUGGAAAUCAUUCGUAGAGUGCAAAGGCAUAAGGGAGCUUGACUGCGAGACCUACAAGUCGAGCAGGGACGAAAGUCGGGCUUAGUGAUCCGGUGGUUCCGCAUGGAAGGGCCAUCGCUCAACGGAUAAAAGCUACCCCGGGGAUAACAGGCUUAUCUCCCCCAAGAGUCCACAUCGACGGGGAGGUUUGGCACCUCGAUGUCGGCUCAUCGCAUCCUGGGGCUGUAGUCGGUCCCAAGGGUUGGGCUGUUCGCCCAUUAAAGCGGUACGCGAGCUGGGUUCAGAACGUCGUGAGACAGUUCGGUCCCUAUCCGUCGUGGGCGUAGGAAAUUUGAGAGGAGCUGUCCUUAGUACGAGAGGACCGGGAUGGACGCACCGCUGGUGUACCAGUUGUUCUGCCAAGGGCAUAGCUGGGUAGCUAUGUGCGGAAGGGAUAAGUGCUGAAAGCAUCUAAGCAUGAAGCCCCCCUCAAGAUGAGAUUUCCCAUAGCGUAAGCUAGUAAGAUCCCUGAAAGAUGAUCAGGUUGAUAGGUUCGAGGUGGAAGCAUGGUGACAUGUGGAGCUGACGAAUACUAAUAGAUCGAGGACUUAACC